rnacentral:rRNA from 1 species
GUGGGGAAUAUUGGACAAUGGGCGCAAGCCUGAUCCAGCCAUGCCGCGUGUGUGAAGAAGGUCUUCGGAUUGUAAAGCACUUUAAGUUGGGAGGAAGGGCAGUAAGUUAAUACCUUGCUGUUUUGACGUUACCGACAGAAUAAGCCCCGGCUAACUUCGUGCCAGCAGCCGCGGUAAUACGAAGGGGGCGAGCGUUAUUCGGAAUCACUGGGCGUAAAGCGUGCGUAGGCGGUUUUGUAAGUUAGGAGUGAAAGCCCAGGGCUCAACCCUGGAAUUGCUCUUAAAACUACAAGGCUAGAAUGUCGGAGAGGAUAGCGGAAUUUCCAGUGUAGCAGUGAAAUGCGUAGAUAUUGGAAGGAACACCAGUGGCGUAAGCGGCUAUCUGGACGACUAUUGACGCUGAGGCACGAAAGCGUGGGGAUCAAACAGGAUUAGAUACCCUGGUAGUCC